rnacentral:rRNA from 1 species
UACGUAGGGUGCAGGCGUUAAUCGGAAUUACUGGGCGUAAAGCGUGCGCAGGCGGUUUCUUAAGUCAGAUGUGAAAGCCCCGGGCUUAACCUGGGAACUGCGUUUGAAACUGGGAGACUUGAGUGUGGCAGAGGGGGGUGGAAUUCCACGUGUAGCAGUGAAAUGCGUAGAUAUCUGGAGGAACACCGGUGGCGAAGGCGGCAUCCUGGACCGGUAUUGACACUGAGGCGCGAAAGCCAGGGGAGCAAACGGG